AUUGGCCCAAGCAUCCUAAAGGCACCAGAUCCUGUCUGAUCUUGGAAGCUAAGAAGGUCAGCCCUGGUUAGUAUAUGGAUGGGAGACAGGCGAAAAUACCUCUUGCCAACC
rnacentral:rRNA from 1 species